GAGGAAAGAGGGAGGAGGGAAGAAGAAAGGAAAGUAGAGUGAACAGACGAGGAGCUUGCUCCUCUGACGUUAGCGGCGGACGGGUGAGUAACACGUGGAUAACCUACCUAUAAGACUGGGAUAACUUCGGGAAACCGGAGCUAAUACCGGAUAACAUGUUGAACCGCAUGGUUCAACAGUGAAAGACGGUCUUGCUGUCACUUAUAGAUGGAUCCGCGCCGCAUUAGCUAGUUGGUAAGGUAACGGCUUACCAAGGCAACGAUGCGUAGCCGACCUGAGAGGGUGAUCGGCCACACUGGAACUGAGACACGGUCCAGACUCCUACGGGAGGCAGCAGUAGGGAAUCUUCCGCAAUGGGCGAAAGCCUGACGGAGCAACGCCGCGUGAGUGAAGAAGGUCUUCGGAUCGUAAAACUCUGUUAUUAGGGAAGAACAAAUGUGUAAGUAACUAUGCACGUCUUGACGGUACCUAAUCAGAAAGCCACGGCUAACUACGUA
rnacentral:rRNA from 1 species